rnacentral:rRNA from 1 species
GCAUAAUGGGUCAAUUAAAAGUAUUUGGUGGUAAUUACACGAAACCGUUUGAGCUAACUAGCAACUGGCAUGGCCGUUAAUCUGUAGCAUAAGAUGAAUUGAGUGAUAGUUAGGGGUGAUAGGCCUCCCAAAUCCGGUGAUAGCUUGAUUCUUGCGAAAAGUUUAGUACAACCACAAAUCAGAAGUGACAAGAUUUUUGAUAGUUAUUAAUUUUGGUAAGUAUAGCGUAUUGGCUUAACCGUCGGUAUGUAAAUUAUACAAUUAUGUAUAUUGGGAAUUUAUGGCUAAUAGUAGGAAGUAAAUAACGUUGCGAUUUAUUUAUAAUGUUGAUAUUAGUACCUAACAGGUGUCACCAGUGAACUCGGCGAAAGGGCUUUCAACUGUUUACCAAAAACAUAGCUGUGUGAUAUUACUCACAGUAUUUUCUGCUCAAUGAGUUAUUAAAUAGCCGCAGUACCUUGACUGUGCAAAGGUAGCGUAAUCAGUUGUCUUCUAAUUAAAGUCUCGUAUGAAAGAAUAUAUGGGGGCCCACUUUACCAGUGGCAGGAAGUGAAAUUGAUAAGUGAGUGCAAACGCUCAUAUUACAUAAAAGACGAGAAGACCCUAGAAAUUUUUACGUUAGUUUUUGUUGGGGCAACAUAGUAACAAGUAAUUUACUAUAUGUAUAUGAAAUAUUUUAGGGAGUUUAAAUUACUCUAGGGAUAACAGCAUAAUUUAAAAAAGUUUGUGACCUCGAUGUUGGAUUAGGAAGUUAUAGCUUAAAAGGUUGUUAAUUUUGCUCUGUUCGAGCAACGAUUCCUACAUG